rnacentral:rRNA from 1 species
GAACUCCGAAGUUAAGCGGCGCAAGGCCCGGGAUAGUACUGGGGUGGGGGACCGCCCGGGAAGUCCUUAGGGUGCUGCUGGCU